GCUACCACCGAUUGAAUGGUUUAGUGAGGACUCCUGAUUGGCGCCGCCGCCCCGGCAACGGAGCAGCGGACUGCCGAAAAGUUGUUCAAACUUGAUCAUUUAGAGGAAGUAAAAGUCGUAACAAGGUUUCCGUAGGUGAACCUGCAGAAGGACA
rnacentral:misc_RNA from 1 species